UUCUGACCGUAAACGAUACCAUCUAGCGAUUCGAUAGGGUCAUCUAACCUUGUCGAGGAGCUUCCCGGAAACGAAAGUCUUUCGGUUCCGGGGGUAGUAUGGUUGCAAAGCUGAAACUUAAAGAAAUUGACGGAAGGGCACCACCAGGAGUGGAGCUUGCGGCUUAAUUUGACUCAACACGGGAAAACUCACCCGGUCCGGACACCGUAAGGAUUGACAGACUGAUAGCUCUUUCUUGAUUCGGUGGUUGGUGGUGCAUGGCCGUUCUUAGUUGGUGGAGUAAUUUGUCUGGUUUAUUCCGAUAACGAGCGAGACUCUAGCCUGCUAAAUAGAACGCGGAUAAACCUUUUCAUAGGUCCGCGAUGCUUCUUAGAGGAAUUAGCGGUGCUUAGCCGCACGAGAUUGAGCGAUAACAGGUCUGUGAUGCCCUUAGAUGUCCGGGGCUGCACGCGUGCUACACUGGAACAUUCAACGUGCUCUCCAUCGCCGAAAGGUGUUGGCAAACCGUUGAAACUGUUCCGUGACUGGGAUAGGGAAUUGCAAUUAUUUCCCUUGAACGAGGAAUUCCUAGUAAGUGUGAGUCAUCAGCUCGCGCUG
rnacentral:rRNA from 1 species